rnacentral:rRNA from 1 species
GAUGAACGCUGGCGGCGUGCCUAAUACAUGCAAGUCGAGCGAACAGAUGAGGAGCUUGCUCCUCUGACGUUAGCGGCGGACGGGUGAGUAACACGUGGAUAACCUACCUAUAAGACUGGGAUAACUUCGGGAAACCGGAGCUAAUACCGGAUAAUAUAUUGAACCGCAUGGUUCAAUAGUGAAAGACGGUUUUGCUGUCACUUAUAGAUGGAUCCGCGCCGCAUUAGCUAGUUGGUAAGGUAACGGCUUACCAAGGCAACGAUGCGUAUCCGACCUGAGAGGGUGAUCGGCCACACUGGAACUGAGACACGGUCCAGACUCCUACUGGAGGCAGCAGUAGGGAAUCUUCCGCAAUGGACGAAAGCCUGACGGAGCAACGCCGCGUGAGUGAUGAAGGUCUUCGGAUCUUAAAACUCUGUUAUUAGGGAAGAACAAAUGUGUAAGUAACUAUGCACGUCUUGACGGUACCUAAUCAGAAAGCCACGGCUAACUACGUG